rnacentral:rRNA from 1 species
AAUAGUCUAACGACUGAACCAGCAACUUGGAGGAAUGAAUAGCAAUAGCUAAUUGCAUUAUAUUAUAGUGUAAUAUCGACUAUGUUGAAUAAAAUUCUGGGUAUAUUUAUGAUAAUGACAUUUUUUGCCCAUGUGUCUUGACCAAAUUACGUGCCAGCAGUCGCGGUAAUACGUAGAAGACUAGUGUUAUUCAUCUUUAAUAGGUUUAAAGGGUACCUAGACGGUAAAUAAAGCCCUGCAUAGCAAAACGGAACUAAUUUACUAGAGUUACUUACAAGGAGGCUAUAAAGUACUAAUGGUGUAGAGAUGAAAUUUUGUAAUACCAUUUUCUGAAAUGAAAGUUAUGGCACUGAUAAAGGCGAAAGCAUCCUCUUAUGUGAUAACUAACGUUGAGGGACGAAGGCUUUGGAUCGCGAAUAGGAUUAGAUACCCUAGUAGUCAAAGCAGACAAUGAUGAGUGUCAUAGAUUAGAUAUAUAAGUUUAUUCUAUAAAUGAAAGUGUAAGCACUCCACCUCAAGAGUAAUUUGGCAACAUUGGAACUGAAAUCAUUAGACCGUUUCUGAAACCAGUAGUGAAGUAUGUUGUUUAAUUUGAUGAUCCGCAAAACACCUUACCACAACUUGAAUAAAAAUCCUCCUAAAGAAUAUUUUACAAGCGUUGCACGGCUGUCUACAGUUAAUGUCGUGAGACUUUGGUUAGAUCCAUUAAAUUAACGCAAGCCCUUACUUUAUUUCCAAAUAAAGUAGUUCCCCACUAUAUUGGAUAUGAUAACAGGGACUAAGACAAGUCAUCAUGGCCUGAAUGUUGUGGGCUAUAGACGUGCCACAUAGACCUUUACAAAAGGAUGUGAAAUUGUGAAGUUGAACUAAUCCCCCAAAAAUGGAUAUAAUCUUAAU